UCUCUCUGUCUUUGCAGCAACGGUGUGUACCAAUCCCUUGGAUGCACACUCUUAUCCUUUACUUCAGGUUUAUCUUGAAAUAUUGUGUGUGUGUGUGUGUGUGUGUGUGUGUGUGUGUGUAUCAAGCUCCUGGUUCUACCGGAGUGGUGGUUCUGGAAGUGCAGGUCGCAGAGCUGGCGGAGUUGUGUUGGGUUUUCUGCUAUUGCUGACCACGGAAGGUGAAGAAAAUGAAGAGGACAUUAAGAAACCCAUCUGACCACUUCAAAGAGUUUUACUCACCUUUUCCCCUGCAUGAGAAAGUACCAAAUUUUGUAAAAGUAAGAAUUUUAAGUUCUUACGUUUUCCUUUCAGUAUUUACAACCCACUAUGUGUAAUGGUGUGUGUUCGUGAGGGUACUUAAAAUGUUCACCAAAUAAGAAAAUGGCCAGUCUAGAAAAGAGAAAUAAUUAAAAAUACUUGAGUAAGCUGUGAGCAAAUCCUGUAACUUCCUUGGACUCUAACAGUUGCAAGGUUUUAUUGCCUCACAGUAAACAUUGUGAUCAUACCUAGACAGCUGCCAAGUAACACUGUCUGAGGCCUGGGCCAGAUAGGGAUUGAAUUUAUUGCAUUAGAGCAGGUCCCUAGGGUGCUUCUAUUCUGAAUUCUGAGUUUUCAGCCAACAACUUGGUGGGACUUUUGUUGUUCUGCAAAUUUCCACCACACUUCAGAAGCACAUCGGUUUUUACCAGCUGAGUUUUAACUAGAUGUGAAUUCUGUGAGGCAAACAGUUCUCCUAUCCACUGCUGGAGGCAGCUUUCUCUCCUUGGAUGAUUUAAUAAAUAGGAGGGUUGACCACAGGAAAGUGUCUCAAGCUCUUGUGAAACAGGGCCCUGUUGUGCCCUUCCUUCCUGGGUGACAUAGUUGGAAAUGGUUGCUGUGGAGACAAGCCUCCCCAGAAAUCAGUUUAUGCCUGUUCUACCUUCAUUUCUCACCCAGGUGUGGUGAUUUAAAUAAACUCUUUGGUAGGAUUAGAAGGAUUAGGAAGCCUUGCUGCACUUUCAAAAACCCAAGGCCAGGCUAGUCUCCACACCAACCCCCCUGCCCCCAAUGGAUUAGCAUGUAGAACUCUUAGUACUGUGUCUGCCUGCCUGCCACUAUGCUCCCAACCAAGAUGAUAAUGGACUAACCUCUGAAAUGCAAUAGAACAGUGACUGACCCCUGGCAAGUUUCAGGCUUCAGGAAAAGGCUGAAGAAAGAGUGUUCUGCAGUAGAAAUGGGGACAGAACCUGUUGAUGCUUCGGUCUGGGUAGCUUGAAGACUCCAUUCUGAGUGCAGAAUUCAGCACCUAUGAAGAUUUGAGGGGAAAUGAUGGAUGAUGCAUCUCUCUGGAAAGUCUUGGAAGGGCCCUUGUAUCUUGGGGCUUUUCUGUGCCUGAUGUGACCCAGGUCCUCUGGACUACAUUUCUAAUUUUGGUGCCUGAAUCAAUGGACCUGCUUCUAGAGGUGUGGCUGCUAAGCUUGGACAAUUUAGGAUAUUGAAAGGUGGAAAAGGGAAGAGGUUGCUGAGACACUGGGACAUCUGCAUACAUCAUCCUUCAAGGAGGAGAGAGGGUUCCAGUGCUCAAAAUGGAUGGUAUCUACAGACCUUGCUUUGCUUGUUUUUAAUCUAAAGCAGUUUAGGGGUUGAAAUGGCACCCAGAAUACAUUAUAUCCUGAAAUUAAUGUAGAAUGCUGGCCCAAUGUGUAUGUGUUCAUCUGUACACUGUGUUUCUUAACCUGCCCACUCUGAGUAUAUGCCGUUAUGUGAGAAACCAUGGGUUCUGAGCAUGUGCACAUUAAUUUGGAACUUAAAAGUAUCUUGGCUCUUCCCCGAAGACUUCAGGCAUGGCUUCCCAAAUGGUAAUAUCUUUGUUUUUAUGUCUGAUAAAACAAUUGCAUCAUGCUUAGUGGGAGCUUUUUCUUAAACUUUGAAAUGAUAUCCACACAACAAGAGAGGGGUGCUAGGUAGAAAUACAUAGAGAGGGGCCUAGGGAGAUGGCUUUGUGGAUAAGAGCACAGACUUCUGUUCCGGGGAACCUAGGUUCAAUUCUCCUCAUUCAUUUGGCUGCUAACAACUGUCUAUAAGUUCAGGUCCAAAUGAUCCAAUGCCCUCAUCUGGCUUCAACAGGCACUGCACACGUAUGGUGCACAGAUAAACAUGCAAGCAAAACACCCAAACACAUAUAAUAAAUAAAUCUUUUAAAAAUGUCCAUGAAGAAUUCAGUUGACUGGUGAUGGGUUAAGACAUUGACUCCCAUUUUCCCCAUCUCUGUGUUACUCUUCUAACAUUAUGCUGUUUGUCUGGACAUGUUAAGUGAUAUGGAGAUACAAGGUACUUUAUUGGCAAAAUGAUUCCCCUUCUUGAUUUAAGGGAUCAUGAAAUACACACAUCAUCAGAUUCUGGCUCUGCACACCAUUGUGAAGUAUGACACGUUUUCCCUUCACUUCCUGGCUCUCCUGACCCAUUCUAGGGAGUUCAGAUUUGUACAAAUCUGCUUUGCAAUGAGGCCACCAAUCUGGCUUCUGUCUCCUAACUUUGUUCUGGAGCAGGGUUCCCUAAUUCUGGUUUUCCUGUUCACUGUCCCAACUACAAAAUUCUAUCCAAGUAUCCUGAUUCAUUGAUUGAGAAAAAGAAUUCCUAUGACAGUCUUGCUUAGAGCAUUGGCUCUCCCAGGAGUAGUUAGGUUUAGAGAAUUCUGAGAGUCUGGAGAUGGAAAGCUUUAGCCACAGGGAAGCUUUAAGCAAUGAGGCAGAGGACAAGCAUCUGGAAAGGCAGAAAUAUCUUCUCAGAUUGCUGUAUUUAAAGUAAAAAAGGUUUAACAUAUCCAGUAAUCGAGUGAAACAGUGAUUUUAACAGAAGGAUCCAUGGAGAACUAUGUGACCAUGUCUGUUCUCUCAAUUUGAUAUGUAGAUUGUAAAUUGGGAUUAUUAUUAGGUAUCAUGGUGCAUACCUAAUACCUGUAACGCCAUCACUCAGGGGGCUGAGACUGGAGGAGCGUUGUGGUUUGAGACCAACUGGGAUACAUUGGGAUGCCUUUGCCAAACAAACAAAACAACAGAGAGAGAGAGAGAGAGAGAGAGAGAGAGAGAGAGAGAGAGAGAGGUGGGGGAGGGGGAGGAGGAGGGGAGACAGACAGACAGACAGACAGACAGAAGGACAAGUACAGGGACAGAGACAGAGACAGAGAAACCAAGACUGGUUCUCUGGUGAAGUGCUAUAAUCCUUAUAGUAGUAUUUUGGAGGUAAUCAUAAAGAAUGGAACUAUGCUUGUACUGGUAUAAAAGAAAAGGAGGAACAUAAUAUUUUAUUAAAAAUGUAAAGCCUUUUUGGUUCAUAUGAGUUAAUGAAACAUUGAUAAGGAUGAUUCCCAAAGAAUCAAUGCAUUUAGAAUGUAUUCACUGUAGUUAAUAGUUGGUUUGGAUUUCCCAUGACAGGGUAAGAAAAGGAGUAUAGAAUCUGGCAUUAAAUAGUAAAGUAAAAUACAAAGGAACUACCACACAACAUUGCUUAAUGUUCUAUAAAAUUCAUUGCGUUGUAUGUAUGUGUGAUAUGUGUGUGAUGUGUGUGUGAUGUGCGUUCAUGUGUGUGUAUGUGUAUGUAUGUGAUAUGUGUUUGUGUGUGUGUGUGUGUGUGUGUGUGUGUGUGUGUGUGUGGUACAUACAUGUAGAGGACAGAUGACAUUUGGUAUCUGUUCUCCAUCUUUUGAGGCAAGGUCUCUCGUUGAACCUCAAACUCAUGACUUUUGUUAGACAAGUUGACCAGAGAGGCUCCACAAUUCUUCUGUUUCUGCCCCCCAAAGCUGACAAUGCAGGUGCAUGCCACCAUGGCCACUCUUUACACGAUGCUUGGGCUCUGGACUCAGGUCCUCAUGCUGUUGCAAUAAUCACUUAGUCACUGGUCGGUCCUCCCAGCCCAUCAAACGUGCUUUGGAAGAGUCUGAGAAAGAAGGUCCAGCAAGGAUAGAAGCAAAGUGCCUAAUGGGAAUGAAAGAGCUCAGCAGCCUUGCCCUAAUCGUAGAACAAUAUGGGUCCCUUCAGUGCUCUGGGGCAGCCCACAAGGAGGGGGAAAACUCCCAUCAGAAAUUAUUCUCUAAAACUAAUUAUAGUCACCAAGCAAUCAAGGUGCCUCCACUUCCUAGACUAGACAGAAAGACAAGUCUGAGUCUAGGAUGGAGCUGUUGGGGUUCCUUUGGGUGUCUCAGACUUUGACCAGAGUUGGAGCAUUAAGUCAUGCCUGUGACUGCUGCGGUUAAUCAUUGCCAGUAGCCUGGAUGGGUGUUAGAGUUACGCAACUUUAUAAAUCCGGAUUGUUCGUAUAAUUUUUCUUGUAUACAUCUUAGACCUAGUUGUUAAUUCCCUUAAUUGAUUUUUAACAUAGGGUUAAACUUCUCAAAGGAAAAGUUGAAGUCAGGAAAAUGACGUAAGCCAAAUAUAAUCAUCACAACCCUGGCAGCCUCCUUCACCUGCCAGCUGCUGGGAAGGAGAAGCUGUGAAAGGAAAACGGGGUCUGCGUGUUUGUGGUAAACGCCACGGGACACCGGAAUGUGGUCGAGGUUUCUUAUUUCCAUGUGGUGAAAACAGGAUCUCUGUAAGUUCUUUGGCAGGACCGUGAUCUCACAACUUGCCAAAAGAGGAAUUUACAGGUUGGUCUGUGGACUAGCGCGCUCUAUUUCUUAUUCUAUUUCCCCUCUCUCCACAGAAUCUAAACCCAGCUUUUAACUUCCAUGGUUUGGCUCAGACAUUUCCUCAGGCAGCCCCAGAUCAUGCUUUGAGUCAGAUGCACCUGAUGAGAACCGGGUGGACCACUUUAGAGACCCCUGUAUCUAAAGUAAAGGAGAAAACAUCGCAAAGCAUUGUCAGCUAAUGAAAUGCGUGUUGACUAGAUUUCAUAUAGGAAGAUGAAGAAUGUAAAGAAAACAAAAUCCUCCACCAUUAGAAAUGCAGCCACCUCUUCCUAGCUGAUUUGAAUGAUGUAAAACAGCAUCUACAAAGCAUCGUACACAUAGACACGGCAUUCCCAACGAUCUAUGGAGUUCACAUGCCCGGAACUGGGGAUCCUUUCACUCCAACACAGAAGUGAAGGCACUCUUCCAGAUGACCAGAGUUAAACAGUUUGUGGUCUUGGGCAGGAAACUUCUACAAGAACCAAACUCUAGCUACAAAGCUUCAAAGAAUUCCCCGGCCACCUGGAUAAAAACUUGACAGAAGCCAGAGUCAGCUUGCACUUAGGUGUGGUAUGCUCAGCUUGUCAACAUCAAUAAACUGCAAAUGCAAAUGAAAUGAAAUGCAUUCCCUCAUAUGAUGCAAUAAACUGCAAAUGCAAAUGAAAUGAAAUGCAUUCCCUCAUAUGAUGCAAUAAAAUGGGAAAUUAGACCAUGA